rnacentral:rRNA from 1 species
GAACGCUGGCGGCAGGCUUAACACAUGCAAGUCGAGCGGUAACAGGGGGUGCUUGCACCCCGCUGACGAGCGGCGGACGGGUGAGUAAUGCUUAGGAAUCUGCCCAGUAGUGGGGGAUAGCCCGGGGAAACCCGGAUUAAUACCGCAUACGUCCUACGGGAGAAAGCAGGGGAUCUUCGGACCUUGCGCUAUUGGAUGAGCCUAAGUCGGAUUAGCUGGUUGGUGGGGUAAGAGCCCACCAAGGCGAUGAUCCGUAGCUGGUCUGAGAGGAUGACCAGCCACACUGGGACUGAGACACGGCCCAGACUCCUACGGGAGGCAGCAGUGGGGAAUAUUGGACAAUGGGGGCAACCCUGAUCCAGCCAUGCCGCGUGUGUGAAGAAGGCCUUCGGGUUGUAAAGCACUUUCAGCUGUGAGGAAAGGUGAGUGGUUAAUACCCGCUUACUGUGACGUUAACAGCAGAAGAAGGACCGGCUAACUCCGUGCCAGCAGCCGCGGUAAUACGGAGGGUCCGAGCGUUAAUCGGAAUUACUGGGCGUAAAGCGCGCGUAGGUGGUUCAGUCAGUCAGAUGUG